GAUGAAGAACGCAGCGAAAUGCGAUACGUAAUGUGAAUUGCAGAAUUCAGUGAAUCAUCGAGUCUUUGAACGCACAUUGCGCCCCCUGGUAUUCCGGGGGGCAUGCCUGUCCGAGCGUCAUUGCUGCCCUCAAGCACGGCUUGUGUGUUGGGCCUCCGUCCUCCUCCCGGGGGACGGGCCCGAAAGGCAGCGGCGGCACCGCGUCCGGUCCUCGAGCGUAUGGGGCUUCGUCACCCGCUCUUGUAGGCCCGGCCGGCGCUUGCCGACACAUCAAUCUUUUUUCCAGGUUGACCUCGGAUCAGGUAGGGAUACCCGCUGAACUUAAGCGUAUCAAUAAGCGGAGGA
rnacentral:misc_RNA from 1 species